rnacentral:rRNA from 1 species
CGGCGGACGGGUGAGUAAUGCCUAGGAAUCUGCCUGGUAGUGGGGACAACGUUUCGAAAGGAACGCUAAUACCGCAUACGUCCUACGGAGAAAGCAGGGGACCUUCGGGCCUUGCGCUAUCAGAUGAGCCUAGGUCGGAUUAGCUAGUUGGUGAGGUAAUGGCUCACCAAGGCGACGAUCCGUAACUGGUCUGAGAGGAUGAUCAGUCACACUGGAACUGAGACACGGUCCAGACUCCUACGGGAGGCAGCAGCC